UGGGGAAUAUUGCACAAUGGGCGCAAGCCUGAUGCAGCCAUGCCGCGUGUGUGAAGAAGGCCUUCGGGUUGUAAAGCACUUUCAGCGGGGAGGAAGGCGUUAAGGUUAAUAACCUUGUCGAUUGACGUUACCCGCAGAAGAAGCACCGGCUAACUCCGUGCCAGCAGCCGCGGUAAUACGGAGGGUGCAAGCGUUAAUCGGAAUUACUGGGCGUAAAGCGCACGCAGGCGGUUUGUUAAGUCAGAUGUGAAAUCCUCGGGCUCAACCUGGGAACUGCAUCUGAUACUGGCAAGCUUGAGUCUCGUAGAGGGGGGUAGAAUUCCAGGUGUAGCGGUGAAAUGCGUAGAGAUCUGGAGGAAUACCGGUGGCGAAGGCGGCCCCCUGGACGAAGACUGACGCUCAGGUGCGAAAGCGUGGGGAGCAAACAGG
rnacentral:rRNA from 1 species